AUUCUCUCGAGGUUUUCUUUGAUUCUUUGUUCUCUGGACUGUUCAUACUCUGAAGUAGCUCCGCCAUUAUUGCUCUCAUUUUGGGUUUCUUCUUCUUUUUCUUCUUCUUGUCUAAUUUUUGGAUUUUGGGGGGGUCGGAUUCUCGGCCUGGGAAUCGCCAUUGUUUCUCUCUCUAAAAACUUGCUCGGAAGGAAAGGGUUGGAGAGAAAAUUCUAAACACUCGCUAGAAUUUAAAAUGUUUCAAAUACUCCCUCC
rnacentral:lncRNA from 1 species